CACCACGGGAGCUGCCUCCAGCUUAUCGCCUCCCUGGUGGUGGGAAACCUCCUGUUUCCAGCCCGAGUGCCAGCGCGGAGGCCGAAAGUGGCCGCGGGCCCGCAGCGCGGCCCGGCAGCCGGCCGGGGGAGCCCGCCCGAGAUGGCGGCGGCGCGAGGGGACGGCGCGGGAGGCGACAACGGUCUGAAAAAGAGGCUUUAUGGAAAAACAGAGGCAGAGGACAGUACAUAUGCAGAGCUACAUGGCUCAGAGAGACAGAGCUAGUGUGGACCCAGCUAAAAAGGGAAUGAUUACAUGUGGCCUCCCAGAUCAAGUGGAAAUUGUGAGGCAAGAUUCAAGAGCACUCUGGGAUGAAGAUCUACUUCAAGGAGCACUGGAGAAGAUAAAUAGUAACUUGGAUUGCAACAUAGUUAAAUCCCAGUAAAUAUGACUGACGUUUUCUGAUCUUUUCUUGUUUUUUAUUGUUUUGGAUUAUAGUGGGUUAAUCAUUACAGACAUUUUGCAAACUUUAAACAGAUUGCUCUGAAUGCAGUUGAUACACUGAAGCCUGGUUUCCAAUUAGUUUAUGUCCUAUCAUGCUGCAGUUCGCUUCUUCAUUUGCUUUCCUUUGCUAUGACCUAGCUCCUCCACUGAUUCCACAAUAUACCUCCAAUCUACUCCUAUAUUCACCAGCUGGUACUGGUGGCUGAGCAAGAAGCAGAAGACCUGUGAUUCGUUCUGAAUUACCUGCCAGUGGAUUGUGUGGCUGAUACAUACAUAAUGAUUGACUUGCU